AUUGAACGCUGGCGGCAGGCCUAACACAUGCAAGUCGAGCGAGCGGCGGACGGGUGAGUAAUGUCUGGGAAACUGCCUGAUGGAGGGGGAUAACUACUGGAAACGGUAGCUACUACCGCAUACCAUCAGAUGUGCCCAGAUGGGAUUAGCUAGUAGGUGGGGUAAUGGCUCACCUAGGCGACGAUCCCUAGCUGGUCUGAGAGGAUGACCAGCCACACUGGAACGGAGACACGGCCCAGACUCCUACGGGAGGCAGCAGUGGGGAAUAUGGGACAAUGGGCGCAAGCCUGAUGCAGCCAUGCCGCGUGUGUGAAGAAGGCCUUCGGGUUGUAAAGCACUUUCAGCAGGGAGGCGUUACCCGCAGAAGAAGCACCGGCUAACUCCGUGCCAGCAGCCGCGGUAAUUC
rnacentral:rRNA from 1 species